rnacentral:rRNA from 1 species
UACGUAGGGGGCGAGCGUUGUCCGGAUUUAUUGGGCGUAAAGAGCUCGUAGGCGGCUUGGCAAGUCGGGUGUGAAAACUUCAGGCUCAACCUGGAGAUGGCACUCGAUACUGCCAUGGCUAGAGUCCGGUAGGGGACCACGGAAUUCCUGGUGUAGCGGUGAAAUGCGCAGAUAUCAGGAGGAACACCGGUGGCGAAGGCGGUGGUCUGGGCCGGCACUGACGCUGAGGAGCGAAAGCGUGGGGAGCAAACAGG